rnacentral:rRNA from 1 species
UCAGGAUGAACGCUGGCGGCGUGCCUAAUACAUGCAAGUCGAACGCUUUGUGGUUCAACUGAUUUGAAGAGCUUGCUCAGAUAUGACGAUGGACAUUGCAAAGAGUGGCGAACGGGUGAGUAACACGUGGGAAACCUACCUCUUAGCAGGGGAUAACAUUUGGAAACAGAUGCUAAUACCGUAUAACAAUGACAACCGCAUGGUUGUUAUUUAAAAGAUGGUUCUGCUAUCACUAAGAGAUGGUCCCGCGGUGCAUUAGCUAGUUGGUAAGGUAAUGGCUUACCAAGGCGAUGAUGCAUAGCCGAGUUGAGAGACUGAUCGGCCACAAUGGGACUGAGACACGGCCCAUACUCCUACGGGAGGCAGCAGUAGGGAAUCUUCCACAAUGGGCGAAAGCCUGAUGGAGCAACGCCGCGUGUGUGAUGAAGGGUUUCGGCUCGUAAAACACUGUUGUAAGAGAAGAAUGACAUUGAGAGUAACUGUUCAAUGUGUGACGGUAUCUUACCAGAAAGGAACGGCUAAAUACGUGCCAGCAGCCGCGGUAAUACGUAUGUUCCAAGCGUUAUCCGGAUUUAUUGGGCGUAAAGCGAGCGCAGACGGUUAUUUAAGUCUGAAGUGAAAGCCCUCAGCUCAACUGAGGAAUUGCUUUGGAAACUGGAUGACUUGAGUGCAGUAGAGGAAAGUGGAACUCCAUGUGUAGCGGUGAAAUGCGUAGAUAUAUGGAAGAACACCAGUGGCGAAGGCGGCUUUCUGGACUGUAACUGACGUUGAGGCUCGAAAGUGUGGGUAGCAAACAGGAUUAGAUACCCUGGUAGUCCACACCGUAAACGAUGAGUGCUAGGUGUUUGAGGGUUUCCGCCCUUAAGUGCCGCAGCUAACGCAUUAAGCACUCCGCCUGGGGAGUACGACCGCAAGGUUGAAACUCAAAGGAAUUGACGGGGACCCGCACAAGCGGUGGAGCAUGUGGUUUAAUUCGAAGCAACGCGAAGAACCUUACCAGGUCUUGACAUCCCUUGACAACUCCAGAGAUGGAGYGUUCCCUUCGGGGACAAGGUGACAGGUGGUGCAUGGUUGUCGUCAGCUCGUGUCGUGAGAUGUUGGGUUAAGUCCCGCAACGAGCGCAACCCUUAUUACUAGUUGCCAGCAUUCAGUUGGGCACUCUAGUGAGACUGCCGGUGACAAACCGGAGGAAGGUGGGGAUGACGUCAAAUCAUCAUGCCCCUUAUGACCUGGGCUACACACGUGCUACAAUGGCGUAUACAACGAGUUGCCAACCCGCGAGGGUGAGCUAAUCUCUUAAAGUACGUCUCAGUUCGGAUUGUAGGCUGCAACUCGCCUACAUGAAGUCGGAAUCGCUAGUAAUCGCGGAUCAGCACGCCGCGGUGAAUACGUUCCCGGGUCUUGUACACACCGCCCGUCACACCAUGAGAGUUUGUAACACCCAAAGCCGGUGGGGUAACCUUCGGGAGCCAGCCGUCUAAGUGGGACAGAUGAUUAGGGU